rnacentral:lncRNA from 1 species
GUCACAACCGCUGGCCUCUGCCGAGUCCUGUGGUGCUAACCCCACACAGGGACACUUUUCAGCUCCCAGACGAGGAGCAGAGCCCUGGGCAGCAGGCCUCUCCACACCAGGGUGAGGUUUGUCCUGAUUUAGGCGGUUACUUUGCCUCUUGUGGCCUCAGUGGCCUCAGCUGUAAAGGGAGAGAGUGACCCUGGCUUUUGGGGUUUGUGAGAGAGCCAGAGGCAGGAGGGGCCAGGACUGGGGAAGUGGCAGGGGCCACCUCGAAACGGCCCCAGCACAGGAUUCUGGUGGUGAGGAAGCAGGCCACAGGUCCUAGGGCACCACAGGUCCAUGGUGCGAAGGCAGGGGCACCGGGAGCUGCUGCUGGAAGCAGCUGCCCGAGAGUGUCCCGGUGUCCCAGUAGUCAAAGGCUGUUGUCCUUCGCCACUGCCAAGGGCUGAGCCCACAGUGCCACCCCUGCCUCCUUCUGAGGCCACCCGGGUUUGCUGACCCAUUCCAGUGGCCGGAAAUCAACUGAAGGGCCCUGGGGACAUUGUCACCACAGCUCAGAGGCUUGUCAGUUUUCUUUGGUGGUGAUGGUGGCGCCCUGAUGCAUGCUGGCACCACCACCCUGCCACGUCCCCCCACCAGUGGAAGUGGCCAAGGGAGCUGGCACAGCAGCAGGCUGUAGGAUCACACAGGAGACUGGGCAACACAGGACAUGAGGGACAUUUCUCCAGGGAAGGGGAGGACGAGACAGAGGGCUGAAGUGCCCAGAUGAUCCACCGAGCGUGGCACGAGAUUUACAGCAGGGUGGGCACUCUGCACUGGCCUGCGCCACCACCCCUCCUUCUCCAUGCCCUGUGCCCCCGAGGCCUGCGUGAGGAAGGCUGCGUGGCUGACGGGCACGGCCCAGCACCCUGGCUCUGUCUUGUCUCCUGGGGACGAGCCCUGAGCAGGCGCUGGGCAGAAGGCGCAGUGAAGAGGACAGGGCUCCUGUGUGCCCACUCUGACAUCUGUCACCUGGGGGUCAUCAGCCCAGUCUUGCAGAUGGGGAAGCCGAGGGCGUGUCUGAGGAGGAGCCGAGCAGGUAGGCGGCUGUCCCGAGCCCUGGCCUUCGCCUUUGCCCACGACUGUGCCAGGGGCAUGGGGAGGGCAGGGCCCGGGGCGGCCCCCUAGAACCAGUGUCUCUGCAGAGCCCUGAUGGCAGGGGCCACAGACAGCCCUGUCCACCUCC